rnacentral:rRNA from 1 species
GAUGAACGCUGGCGGCGUGCCUAAUACAUGCAAGUCGAGCGAACAGACGAGGAGCUUGCUCCUCUGACGUUAGCGGCGGACGGGUGAGUAACACGUGGAUAACCUACCUAUAAGACUGGGAUAACUUCGGGAAACCGGAGCUAAUACCGGAUAAUAUAUUGAACCGCAUGGUUCAAUAGUGAAAGACGGUUUUGCUGUCACUUAUAGAUGGAUCCGCGCCGCAUUAGCUAGUUGGUAAGGUAACGGCUUACCAAGGCAACGAUGCGUAGCCGACCUGAGAGGGUGAUCGGCCACACUGGAACGGAAACACGGUCCAGACUCCUACGGUAGGCAGCAGUAGGGAAUCUUCCGCAAUGGGCGAAAGCCUGACGGAGCAACGCCGCGUGAGUGAUGAAGGUCUUCGGAUCGUAAAACUCUGUUAUUAGGGAAGAACAAAUGUGUAAGUAACUAUGCACGUCUUGACGGUACCUAAUCAGAAAGCCACGGCUAACUACGUG